UGAUUGUGCAAGAACUGCAGAAUUGUGCGGGACCUGGGGAAGCUUACUUUCAAAUCUGUGAUGUUCGCUGUGAAAAAGCUAUUCAGAAUCUGGUUGCUGUGACCAUUGAACUUCAUGGAUACCUUGACUGCCUGGUGAACAAUGUUGGAAUCCGUAAGUCAGUCCCAAAACACUGGUGGGGAAGGGCAUGUUGGAAGAAU
rnacentral:lncRNA from 11 species